rnacentral:rRNA from 2 species
CUGGAGGUAUCAGAAGUGCGAAUGCUGACAUAAGUAACGAUAAAGCGGGUGAAAAGCCCGCUCGCCGGAAGACCAAGGGUUCCUGUCCAACGUUAAUCGGGGCAGGGUGAGUCGACCCCUAAGGCGAGGCCGAAAGGCGUAGUCGAUGGGAAACGGGUUAAUAUUCCCGUACUUGGUGUUACUGCGAAGGGGGGACGGAGAAGGCUAUGUUGGCCGGGCGACGGUUGUCCCGGUUUAAGCGUGUAGGUGUGUGUUCCAGGUAAAUCCGGUUCACUUUAACACUGAGGCGUGACGA